UUCUUUUUUUUAAAUAUAAAAAAAAACAUUAACUAAUAGCUCAUAGUUUAUAAUUUUGACAAGAAGAAAUAAAAAACACUUUUUUUUUCUUUUUUUUUUUUUUAUCUUUUUUAAUUUUCCAGAUAUUAUUCAAAACUUCCAAACGAACUAUGUAGAGAUUCUAACUUUAUGCUACAUAAACUAAGCAAAAACCUAUUUCCAAAAAUACCGAAAAAUUUGAUAAAUAAAAAUGGAAUAAAUUAUGAAGAUGAAAAUUUUAAUAUUAUGAAUCGAGAAGAAUAUAGUAAAAGACCAUACAAAGAAUCUCAACAUGAUUAUUUAGACAAUAGCAAUAUCAUAAACAGUGAAAAAAAAUAUGAAUAUAGAAAAAAUAAUACAUAUAAUAGUGAAAUAGAAAUAGAUGGUUACAAAUACAGCAUCGAUAAAAACGUUAAAGAAAAACCAAAAAAUAGCUAUGAAGAUCAAACAAGCGAAUAUUCAACAAAUAAAUAUAAAAACACAUUCAUUAAUCUAACGGAAAGAGAUGCAACUAAAUAUUCUAAUAUUUCGUCAAUGAAUAAUAAAUAUAAAGAAACAGUCAAAACUUUUAUAUACAAAAAUGAUAGAAAUAUGGAACACAGCGAAGAAGACACAGAAGAAGAAACGAAAGAAGUAAAACAAGUGAAACAAUUUCCCAAAAAAAAUGAACAGCCUUCAAAUUUUAAUUAUGGCUUUAAUAAAAUAAAUCAUAAUUAUAACAAAAAAGAUAUAAAUGUAAAAAAAGAAGAAAAAUAUGAUGAUGAUUAUGAUGAUGACAACAUAAUAAUUAAAAAGGACCAAUUGUUAACUAGAAAUAUUGAUAAGGUAUAUAACGAUGGUUGUAAAAAACACACGGGGUCAUCAAAUACUUAUAGAAACAAUUGUCGAUUAAAUAAAACGCCUUUUAAAGAAGAAAAUAAUAUUGAAAGUAUACAUAAUCCCCAAAAAAAGUCCAUAUACAAACAAACGUAUACUAUAAAUGAUGUUUUAAAAAAUGACUACUUAAACAUUAUAGAUUUACAAAAAAAAAAUGAAAUAAAAGAUAUGUUCUCCAAAACUAAAUUGAGUUUAAAUGCACUUAAUCUAGAGAGUAGUAUUACUAUUGUACAAAACAAUGUGUUGAAAAAUGAAAAAUAUAAAAAAAAUAAUACAUACGAAAACAAAAAUGCUAAAAAAACAUGUGUACUAUAUUAUGAUGUAAAUAAAGAAGUAAAAAUCAUAUCGAACAAGGAAUCCAUUAUAGACGCAUUAAAAAAUGUUCUUCUAAAAAGUAUGUAUAUAUAUGUGUAUAUAUAUUUAUAUUUAAAAAAAAAUAAAAUAAAAUACAACUAAUAAUAAUAU
rnacentral:lncRNA from 1 species